rnacentral:rRNA from 1 species
GACGAACGCUGGCGGCGUGCUUAACACAUGCAAGUCGAACGGAAAGGCCCUGCUUUUGUGGGGUGCUCGAGUGGCGAACGGGUGAGUAACACGUGAGUAACCUGCCCUUGACUUUGGGAUAACUUCAGGAAACUGGGGCUAAUACCGGAUAGGAGCUCCUGCUGCAUGGUGGGGGUUGGAAAGUUUCGGCGGUUGGGGAUGGACUCGCGGCUUAUCAGCUUGUUGGUGGGGUAGUGGCUUACCAAGGCUUUGACGGGUAGCCGGCCUGAGAGGGUGACCGGCCACAUUGGUACUGCGAUACGCCCCAGACUCCUACGGGAGGCAGCAGUGGGGAAUAUUGCACAAUGGGCGGAAGCCUGAUGCAGCAACGCCGCGUGCGGGAUGACGGCCUUCGGGUUGUAAACCGCUUUCGCCUGUGACGAAGCGUGAGUGACGGUAAUGGGUAAAGAAGCACCGGCUAACUACGUG